UCAGAUCCCUUCAACUUAGGAGAAUUGCUGGGACUCAGCGAACGGCAGGGAGGCUCUUGGUGGAGAGUUCUGGGCCCAGAGACUUCCUUUCAGGAGUUGUAAGCCUCCUUUGGGACUGCCAUGAGACUUCGGGCUAUGACCAGAGAGAACCAUCCUCGCGCCGCAAGCCAGACCAGCCACAAGACCUAGUCUGUGCCCUGACACAGGGAGCCCCAAGGGGAAGUAGGGAAGGGGACAUCAUCGCUUCAGUCCUAAUCCUGUGCUUCAGGCCUUCGUCACAGCUGAACGGCCUCCUUAGCUGCUAGAAGCUGGUCUCUGUUGGGUCCCAGGUGCUGAGGAAAGCCUUUCAAAACUUGGGAGGCCCCAGCAGGGUGGCACCACACAGGCCACACGAGUCCCAGUGUGGGGGUGAGAGACACCUCGUGAGGGUGGGUUAGAAACCUCUUUACAAGCAUUUCAAGAUACAUGCGUCCUUUUUUUUUUUUUUUUUUCUUUUCACUAUCAUAGUCACUCUGGUGAAUCCAAGCAUAAACAGACAAAUCCAACUACAACUCAACAGGGUGCAGAUGGGGAGGGCAGGGCAACAUCUAUGUAUAUGUUCAGCUGCUCCAGCAGAACAGACAGCAUGGCUUCCAGCUGGGACUGGGGGAAAAGAACCAUUUCCAAGGGGGUGUGUUCCCCUUUGUCGGGUGUGGAGGGCUGAUACUAUGCAUGUGGAGCUGAGCAGCGGGCUGGGCUGUCUGGGAGGUUGGCAGCUACAAGCUAGGGUGCAAGUGGGGGACAGCGGGACUGUGGGCCUGCCCUGGGUGCCUUGCCCUUCCAUCCUGGUGCCACCACUGACAACCAAGACACCCAGCCUGCUGCUGUGGGCUCAGCACAGGAAGGGGCCAGGCCUUCUCAGGGGAAAGGGCUCUCUCCAUGUCAACAAGGCAGAAACACCUAGGGUCACAGCUGAGCAGUGCCCUGGCUCACAUCUGUGACGGGAGGAGGAGACAGGGAACCGAAUCAGAUCAUGAGAUUCGUGGUGAGGGUCCCAGUUGGAUGAGUGGAACUGAGAGUGAGAGGCUGGGGUCCCACUCUUGUGCCUGGACUUUGCCUUCCCUUAAUUUCACCCUCAGUAUGGAGUAGGUACCUCCUGCAACCAACCAGGGUCAUUACUGAGAAGGGGUGGUGAGGCUGGGAAUUCGGGACAUUGUGACGUGUGAUGAGGGGUAUAGGCAGUGAUUGGGCUCUCACGGCAGACAACAGCACAGCGGCGCAGACGGGGUGACUGCAGUGGCCGUGGGAAGGACAGGGGGCUCGGGACCUGCCUCCCAGACCCCCACACACUCCAGAGAUGCCAGUGGCCCAGGCUUGGAAACGGGUGGACGUCUCCCAAGAGGCACAAGUCCUUACAAAGAGAACUGGUUAGCCCUAAAGUCCCAGGUCUGCAAAGUGGCCAAAAUCAUGGCAGCAGUUCCAACCUUCAGAACUCAAUAAAACAGGGUUUCUGUGGAGCAGAGGGAAGCCCCUCAACUCAGGCCCCCUACCCUGCAGGGAGGGAGGAAGAGGCCAGCGCUCUCAAGACAUCAAGGUCAGUCUUUUCUAAGGAGGUCAUCCACGAAGUGCCACCCUCCUGCCAGCUUGCCUUCUCUUUUUACCCGCUGUCCCUUCUCCCACAGGCUGCCCUGCAGAGGGUGGCACACUGACCCACAGCAGGCCCCCACCCCCGGCCACCAAGGACAGGCGGCCGCUCAGACGCUGCAGGUGGCAUAGGCCUUGGCUCUCCCAGCGGCAAGGAGGGGGAUGUCUACUCUCCAGCACGUGGCUUCCUCUCCC
rnacentral:lncRNA from 1 species